rnacentral:rRNA from 1 species
UACAGAGGGGGCGAGCGUUGUUCGGAAUUACUGGGCGUAAAGGGCGCGUAGGCGGCCUUCUAAGUCGAACGUGAAAUCCCCGGGCUCAACCCGGGAACUGCGUCCGAUACUGGGAGGCUUGAAUCCGGGAGAGGGAUGUGGAAUUCCAGGUGUAGCGGUGAAAUGCGUAGAUAUCUGGAGGAACACCGGUGGCGAAGGCGGCAUCCUGGACCGGUAUUGACGCUGAGGCGCGAAAGCGUGGGGAGCGAACAGG